UACAGAGGUGGCAAGCGUUGUUCGGAAUUACUGGGCGUAAAGGGCGCGUAGGCGGCCUUCUAAGUCAGGGGUGAAAUCCUGGAGCUCAACUCCAGAACUGCCUUUGAUACUGGCGAGCUUGAGUUCGGGAGAGGUGAGUGGAACUGCGAGUGUAGAGGUGAAAUUCGUAGAUAUUCGCAAGAACACCAGUGGCGAAGGCGGCUCACUGGCCCGAUACUGACGCUGAGGUGCGAAAGCGUGGGGAGCAAACAGG
rnacentral:rRNA from 1 species